rnacentral:lncRNA from 1 species
UUUUUUUUUUUUUUAAUCUUUUUAGAAAUAUGUUUUCAUGCUUUUAUUUGAAAAAAAAAUGCACACAUAAGUAUGCAUUGAUGCAUUCUAAACCUCCAUCUCUCUACUUAUUCUUUUUCUCCAGGUUAGAUGAUCCCUUCCGGUAUUUCUGCAGCUCUUCCUUCCUUCCUUUUUUUUUUUUUUUUUUUUUUUUUUUUGCUGUCUCUUGGGCCGCUCCCGCAGCAUAUGGAGCCCUAAAAAGACAAAAAAAAAAAAAAAAAAAAAAAAAAUGAUGUGGCUUGAAGCUACACAUAUCACUUCUGUUCAUAUUCCAUUGGCCAUAACUUAGUCACAUGCCCAUGCAACUUUCAGAAGUUGGGAAAUGUAGUCUCCACCUGGAACAUCAUGCAUUCAACUAAGGCUUGGGAGGUUCUACUACUAAGAGGAAUAGGAAGAAAUGAGAUGCCAGGAUAUAAUUAGAACUCAAUGACUCAAAGGAUGGCUGCCCUUUUUGUGGAUCUCAGGUCUAAUAUUUCCUUUUUCACUGCAUUUUUUUUUUUUAAUUUAGAGGCAGUAAAUCUCUGCUGUCCAGGAAAGGAACCAAAUUAAGUUCUUUUUCUCUUUCACAGAGUUAAAUAAAAACGGUCUGGCCCUAAAUUGAUCAUCCUAAGGCACAGGAGUUGUGGGACGAAUGGUGAAUGGAUACACAAACCUGAUCUGGAACAGGACUUCUUGAGGGGAGAAUCCUUGAAAAAGAAGGACCGACAUAUGAAAGAAAGAAUUUUGUUCCAAGAGCUGUAGCUGGGAGACCCCAGUGAGUCAAAGGUUACUCAAAGAGUUAUCAGGCUGCAUGGCAAGGCAGCCCAGUGGUACAGGAUCAGGGUUCAACAGCACCAUCUGCAGGAGGAAGGAACAAUAACAGGCUGAUAAAAAAAGCUUCUCCCUACUCGGAAGUACACGUAAUGAGGACCUCUUUUCUUAACUAGAUAAGAACGCUGGUCUUAGAGAAAAAGGCUUUCAGUUUUUCACCACUGAGAAUGAUGUUAGUUGGGGAUUUGUCCAAGAAUCCUGGGAUUCUUGGAUGAUCCACGGUCAAGGAAAAGCUCAGUAAGGUAACACAGGACUUCUGGCCAAUUCUGAUGGUGACAACUCAAGCAAUUUUUAUUUAAUUUGGAAACAAUAAAUAAAUAUGUGACAGUACUUGUUCUUGAACUGUUGUGGAAAUGCUUAUUUCUAUCAACAUAUAAAAGAGGUAAAAAUAAAGGAAUUCCCUGAAGAUCUUUUUUUAGAGCUACACCUGCAGCAUAUGGAGUUCCCAAGCUAGGGAUUGAAUCAGAGCUGCAACUGCUGGCCUAUGCCACUGCCACAGCAAUGCGGGAUCCAAGCCAUGUCUGCAACCUACACCACAGCUCAUGGCAAUGCCAAUCCUUAACCCACUGAGCAAGGCCAGGGAUCAAACCCACAUCUUCAGGGAUAUUAGCUGAGUUUGUUCCACUGAGCCACAAUGGGAACACCCCCUGAAGAUCUCUUUAAACAUGAUACAGAAACAACAUAGGUCAAUAAAAUAUCAAAGAUCUGGUUUAUAAAAGUGCAAAGAACUUCAUGAAGAGCCAGGGUGACUCACUAAAAACACUCCAAGUGCAAUCUCUGAACAAAAUCCCUCUUAAAAGAUUGUUUACCUGAGGUAACUGGAAGACAGGGCAGACCCAAUGAGGAAGAGACUUUUGAGGGGUCUUUGGAGCACACAUUGACAAUAUCAGUUCCCUGACACUCACAUAAAUGUUUGGCCCAUUCUCCCAAAUACUCGUGAAUGACUAUAGAUGCUUCAUCCAUGAAAUGGGUUGAAUGCUGUAACAGUGGGUCCAAAUGGUUAUGAGAACACAUGGGAAUGAGAACCUAUGUCCAUCUCUGUGUCUACAGGAUGGUGUCUCUGAGGAGGCUGCACUUGAGGUAUGUGUGGAAGGAAGAGAGCAAUGCGGACGAGCAGAGAUUACAUGGAUGCGCAGGACAAAGGCAGCAUUCCCAACCGUGCUGAGCCUUUAUCUCCUCCACCAGUGACAUGGGUGACAGUGUUACUGGGAAGGUUAGAAAUAAAUGUUUGUGCAACAUCCAAGACCAUGUGUGGCUUUAAAAAGUAAGAAAUGAUUAUUACUAAAAUGACAACCAAUCAGUGACUAUGGCAAGGCAUAAAAAUCUGAGAACCCUACCUUAGGCCAGUGCUCUUAAAGGGAGGCAAAGUAGGAGUUCCUGUCAUGGCUCAGUGAUUAAUGAAUCUGACUAGCAUCCAUGAGGACACAGGUUCGAUCCCUGGCCUUGCUCAGUGGGUUAAAGAUCUGGCGUUGCUGUGAGCUGUGGUAUACGUCGUAAACAUGGCUCAGAAUUGACAUUGCUGUGGCUGUGGUGUAGGCAGGCAGCUGUAGCUCUGAUUUAACCCUGAGCCUGGGAACCUCCAUAUGCUGUGGGUGAGGCCCUAAAAAGCCAAAAAAAAAAGGGGGGGGGAGGCAAAGUACUCU